rnacentral:rRNA from 1 species
UUGCAUAUCAAUAAGCGGAGGAAAAGAAACCAACAGGGAUUGCCUCAGUAACGGCGAGUGAAGCGGCAAGAGCUCAAAUUUGAAAGCUGGCUCCUUCGGGGUCCGCAUUGUAAUUUGCAGAGGAUGUUUCGGGAGCGGCCCCCAUCUAAGUGCCCUGGAACGGGCCGUCAUAGAGGGUGAGAAUCCCGUCUGGGAUGGGGUGCCCGCGCCCGUGUGAAGCUCCUUCGACGAGUCGAGUUGUUUGGGAAUGCAGCUCUAAAUGGGUGGUAAAUUUCAUCUAAAGCUAAAUACUGGCCGGAGACCGAUAGCGCACAAGUAGAGUGCAUAUCAAUAAGCGGAGGAAAAGCGUUACGUCGAUCGCGAGAGUUUCCUGGUCUUUGCCAUUGCGCUUGCUGUGAGUUUUACUUCCUGGGAGACAGCGCAGUUUCUAUCCAUACCUGCUGACAUCCCGGGACCGCUCUUUAUUGGGGGGACCGGUCAAAGGCCCUCGGAAUGUAACGCCCCCCGGGGCGUCUUAUAGCCGAGGGUGCCAUUCGGCCAGCCCGGCACCGAGGAACGCGCAUCGACUCGGACGCAUUUUCCAAAGGAUC